rnacentral:rRNA from 1 species
AGUUACAUCCAUACCACCCUAAACAUGCCUGAUCUCAUCUGAUCUCGGAAGCUAAGCAGGGUUGGGCCUGGUUAGUAUUUGGACGGGAGCUGCUUUACUUGUAAUAGUCCCAAACUCAAAAUGACCAAAAUGUCUUUA